AAACUACAAAUAGAACUACCAUAUGACCCAGCAAUCCCACUACUGGGCAUAUACCCUGAGAAAACCAAAAUUCAAAAAGAGUCAUGUGCCAAAAUGUUCAUUGCAACUCUAUUUACAAUAGCCCGGAGAUGGAAACAACCUAAGUGCCCGUCAUCGGAUGAAUGGAUAAAGAAGAUGUGGCACAUAUAUACAAUGGAAUAUUACUCAGCCAUAAAAAGAAACGAAAUUGAGCUAUUUGUAAUGAGGUGGAUAGACCUAGAGUCUGUCAUACAGAGUGAAGUAAGUCAGAAAGAGAAAGACAAAUACCGUAUGCUAACACAUAUAUAUGGAAUUUAAGAAAAAGAAAAUGUCAUGAAGAACCUAGGGGUAAGACGGGAAUAAAGACACAGACCUACUAGAGAAUGGACUUGAGGAUAUGGGGAGGGGGAAAGGUAAGCUGUGACAAAGUAAGAGAGUGGCAUGGACAUAUAUACACUACCAAACGUAAAAUAGAUAGCUAGUGGGAAGCAGUCACAUAGCACAGGGAGAUCA